CGCCUUUCGAUAAAUAAAUAUGAAAGGUCCUGCCUGCCCAGUGAUAAUUAUUUAACGGCCGCGGUAUCAUGACCGUGCAAAGGUAGCAUAAUCACUUGUCUUUUAAAUUGAGACCAGCAUGAAUGGCAAAACGAAAGCCAAACUGUCUCCUUAAGCCAGUCAAUGAAAUUGAUCUUCCCGUGCAGAAGCGGGAGUAAAAAUAUAAGACGAGAAGACCCUAUGGAGCUUAAAAAUAAGGCUAUAUAGACACUAUAAUAACAUUAAAUUUAGGUUGGGGCGACCAUGAGGUAAAAUAUAACCCUCAAGAUAAUAAUUAGAAGGACACUUCAAAUUAAAAUAAAAUUUAUACAUGACCCAAAAAUGAUCAACGAACCAAGUUACCCUAGGGAUAACAGCGCAAUCCAUUCCCAAAGCCCAUAUCGAAGAAUGGGUUUACGACCUCGAUGUUGGAUCAGGACCCCCUAAUGGUGCAACAACUAUUAAAGGUUCGUUUGUUCAACGAUUAAAGUCCU
rnacentral:rRNA from 1 species